AGACCGAGAACUACUGGAUCAGUGGAUAACAAGGUCAAUGUACAUGCUUCCUUUACAAAGGCAGCUAUGAAUCAUAUUAGCAAAUACUUAAGGAAACAGCA